rnacentral:rRNA from 1 species
ACAGAUUUACUUCGGUAAUGACGUUAGGAAAGCGAGCGGCGGAUGGGUGAGUAACACGUGGGGAACCUGCCCCAUAGUCUGGGAUACCACUUGGAAACAGGUGCUAAUACCGGAUAAGAAAGCAGAUCGCAUGAUCAGCUUUUAAAAGGCGGCGUAAGCUGUCGCUAUGGGAUGGCCCCGCGGUGCAUUAGCUAGUUGGUAAGGUAAAGGCUUACCAAGGCGAUGAUGCUUAGCCGAGUUGAGAGACUGAUCGGCCACAUUGGGACUGAGACACGGCCCAAACUCCUACGGGAGGCAGCAGUAGGGAAUCUUCCACAAUGGACGCAAGUCUGAUGGAGCAACGCCGCGUGAGUGAAGAAGGUUUUCGGAUCGUAAAGCUCUGUUGUUGGUGAAGAAGGAUAGAGGUAGUAACUGGCCUUUAUUUGACGGUAAUCAACCAGAAAGUCACGGCUAACUACGUGCCAGCAGCCGCGGUAAUACGUAGGUGGCAAGCGUUGUCCGGAUUUAUUGGGCGUAAAGCGAGCGCAGGCGGAAGAAUAAGUCUGAUGUGAAAGCCCUCGGCUUAACCGAGGAACUGCAUCGGAAACUGUUUUUCUUGAGUGCAGAAGAGGAGAGUGGAACUCCAUGUGUAGCGGUGGAAUGCGUAGAUAUAUGGAAGAACACCAGUGGCGAAGGCGGCUCUCUGGUCUGCAACUGACGCUG